rnacentral:tRNA from 1 species
CUCUCCUUAAUUCAGUUGGAAAAGAAUGACAGCCUUCUAAGCUGUAAGUCACAGGUUCGAGUCCUGUAGGAGAGA